UGCUGCAGCUGUUUGCUUAUCUACGUA
rnacentral:piRNA from 1 species